rnacentral:lncRNA from 1 species
GUGGAUAUGCAGAGGUGGGCCGAGUUCUUUUGGAUAAAGGUGCUGAUGUGAAUGCCCCUCCAGUGCCCUCCUCAAGAGACACAGCUCUAACCAUAGCCGCAGAUAAAGGGCAUUAUAAAUUCUGUGAACUUCUCAUUGGCAGGGGAGCUCAUAUUGAUGUGCGUAACAAAAAGGGGAACACUCCGUUAUGGCUAGCAGCAAAUGGUGGACACCUAGAUGUGGUUCAGCUCCUGGUGCAAGCAGGUGCAGAUGUAGACGCAGCAGAUAACCGCAAGAUAACUCCGCUCAUGGCUGCAUUUAGAAAGUUAAGGGAAGAAAGUCGAAGGCUGGCUUUGGCUGCCAAAAGAGAAAAGCGAAAA